GGGGCUGUGGCUCAAUGGCAGAGCACUUAACUAAUAUUAUAAAGCCCUGGGUUCAACCCCCAGAACUCCCC
rnacentral:tRNA from 1 species